ACUAAUAUAAUUUAUUGAGAAUAUUGUGCUGAAGAUACAAAAGAGAUAGUAAUAUCUGUUAGUG
rnacentral:tRNA from 1 species